rnacentral:rRNA from 1 species
GACGAACGCUGGCGGCGUGCUUAACACAUGCAAGUCGAACGGAAAGGCCCUGCUUUUGUGGGGUGCUCGAGUGGCGAACGGGUGAGUAACACGUGAGUAACCUGCCCUUGACUUUGGGAUAACUUCAGGAAACUGGGGCUAAUACCGGAUAGGAGCUCCUGCUGCAUGGUGGGGGUUGGAAAGUUUCGGCGGUUGGGGAUGGACUCGCGGCUUAUCAGCUUGUUGGUGGGGUAGUGGCUUGCCAAGGCUUUGACGGGUAGCCGGCCUGAGAGGGUGACCGGCCACAUUGGGACUGAGAUACGGCCCAGACUCCUACGGGAGGCAGCAGUGGGGAAUAUGGCACAAUGGGCGGAAGCCAGAUGCAGCAACGCCGCGUGCGGGAUGACGGCCUUCGGGUUGUAAACCGCUUUCGCCUGUGACGAAGCGUGAGUGACGGUAAUGGGUAAAGAAGCACCGGCUAACUACGUG